GAUAACAGGGGAUAAAAGUCAAAGAAUCAUUCUGCUUGCAGGGAUGAUUCUUUGACUUUGAGACCCGAACGAACAUGAGGAUGCAGCGGCUUCUUUAGAAGCCAGCGAAUCCGAAUGGUCGUAGAAUUGCGAGAGCUGCAUAGCAGCGGAGCAAUUCGUAGUUAU
rnacentral:sRNA from 1 species